CCCCCACUAGUCUGGGAUACCACUUGGAAACAAGGUGCUAAUACCGGAUAAGAAAGCGGAUCGCAUGAUCAGCUUUUAAAAGGCGGCGUAAGCUGUCGCUAUGGGAUGGCCCCGCGGUGCAUUAGCUAGUUGGUAAGGUAAAGGCUUACCAAGGCGAUGAUGCAUAGCCGAGUUGAGAGACUGAUCGGCCACAUUGGGACUGAGACACGGCCCAAACUCCUACGGAGGCAGCAGGC
rnacentral:rRNA from 1 species